CAAUGGGGGAAACCCUGAUGCAGCGACGCCGCGUGGAGGAAGAAGGUCUUCGGAUUGUAAACUCCUGUUGUUGAGGAAGAUAAUGACGGUACUCAACAAGGAAGUGACGGCUAACUACGUGCCAGCAGCCGCGGUAAAACGUAGGUCACAAGCGUUGUCCGGAAUUACUGGGUGUAAAGGGAGCGCAGGCGGGAAGACAAGUUGGAAGUGAAAUCUAUGGGCUCAACCCAUAAACUGCUUUCAAAACUGUUUUUCUUGAGUAGUGCAGAGGUAGGCGGAAUUCCCGGUGUAGCGGUGGAAUGCGUAGAUAUCGGGAGGAACACCAGUGGCGAAGGCGGCCUACUGGGCACCAACUGACGCUGAGGCUCGAAAGUGUGGGUAGCAAACAGGAUUAGAUACCCUGGUAGUCCACACCGUAAACGAUGAUAACGAGGUGUUGGAGGAUUGACCCCUUCAGUGCCGC
rnacentral:rRNA from 1 species